rnacentral:rRNA from 1 species
GUGGGGAAUAUUGGACAAUGGGGGGAACCCUGAUCCAGCCAUGUCGCGUGUGUGAAGAAGGCCUUUUGGUUGUAAAGCACUUUAAGCGAGGAGGAGGCUACCGAGAUUAAUACUCUUGGAUAGUGGACGUUACUCGCAGAAUAAGCACCGGCUAACUCUGUGCCAGCAGCCGCGGUAAUACAGAGGGUGCAAGCGUUAAUCGGAUUUACUGGGCGUAAAGCGCGCGUAGGUGGCCAAUUAAGUCAAAUGUGAAAUCCCCGAGCUUAACUUGGGAAUUGCAUUCGAUACUGGUUGGCUAGAGUAUGGGAGAGGAUGGUAGAAUUCCAGGUGUAGCGGUGAAAUGCGUAGAGAUCUGGAGGAAUACCGAUGGCGAAGGCAGCCAUCUGGCCUAAUACUGACACUGAGGUGCGAAAGCAUGGGGAGCAAACAGGAUUAGAUACCCUUGUAGUCC